rnacentral:rRNA from 1 species
GCGGCAACAGCUCAAAUUUGAAAUCUGGCGCAAGCCCGAGUUGUAAUUUGUAGAGGAUGCUUCUGGGCAGCGGCCGUUCUAAGUUCCUUGGAACAGGACGUCAUAGAGGGUGAGAAUCCCGUAUGUGACCGGCACGUACCCUUUACGUAGCUCCUUCGACGAGUCGAGUUGUUUGGGAAUGCAGCUCUAAAUGGGAGGUAAAUUCCUUCUAAAGCUAAAUACCGGCCAGAGACCGAUAGCGCACAAGUAGAGUGAUCGAAAGAUGAAAAGCACUUUGGAAAGAGAGUUAAAAAGCACGUGAAAUUGUUGAAAGGGAAGCGCUUACAACCAGACUUCGUGGCGGUGUUCCGCCGGUCUUCUGACCGGUCUACUCGCCGCCGCGAGGCCAGCAUCGUCUGGGGCCGCCGGAUAAGACCUUGGGAAUGUAGCUUGCCUCGGUAAGUGUUAUAGCCCAGGGUGAUGCGGCGUGCCUCGGGCGAGGUCCGCGCUUCGGCAAGGAUGCUGGCGUAAUGGUUGUCAGCGGCCCGUCUUGAAACACGGACCAAGGAGUCUAACAUCUAUGCGAGUGUUCGGGUGUCAAACCCCUACGCGUAAUGAAAGUGAACGGAGGUGGGAAGCGCAAGCUGCACCAUCGACCGAUCCUGAUGUCCUCGGAUGGAUUUGAGUAAGAGCAUAGCUGUUGGGACCCGAAAGAUGGUGAACUAUGCCUGAAUAGGGUGAAGCCAGAGGAAACUCUGGUGGAGGCUCGCAGCGGUUCUGACGUGCAAAUCGAUCGUCAAAUUUGGGUAUAGGGGCGAAAGACUAAUCGACCCCUCAAAAGUC